UUUUUCAGGCUAUAUACCAGUGUCUGAAACAGUGUUCUGCAUAAAAUAGGUAUUGGGUGAAUUAAGAAAGAAUUGAUGAACCAUCUGUAUAAGUCAAUUUUAAACAAAAUUUUUAGAAGAGGAUGGGCAUUUCCAUGUACUGAAUGCUUACAGUGUAGAAGAGCUUUAGAUCAUCAAGUGAUACUAAUUCUAGAGUAAUUCUCACAAUUGCCAAUGAGAAUUCAUGAGACAGGAAUGGAGACCCCAAGGAUAAGUUGACCAUAGUUACAGAAUUAUCAAAUGACAGAGAUGGCAAUAAUUCAAAGGUCUCAACAAAGUAAGUUCACAUUUUGGAAACAAUAGGACCAAAUUUAUCUUCUGACUAUGGAUAAUAUCUUUUAUGUUGUAUGCAUUCAAUAAAUAUUUAUGAACAAUUA